UGGGGAAUAUUGCACAAUGGGCGCAAGCCUGAUGCAGCCAUGCCGCGUGUGUGAAGAAGGCCUUCGGGUUGUAAAGCACUUUCAGCGAGGAGGAAGGUGGUGAGCUUAAUACGCUCAUCAAUUGACGUUACUCGCAGAAGAAGCACCGGCUAACUCCGUGCCAGCAGCCGCGGUAAUACGGAGGGUGCAAGCGUUAAUCGGAAUUACUGGGCGUAAAGCGCACGCAGGCGGUUUGUUAAGUCAGNUGUGAAAUCCCCGGGCUCAACCUGGGAACUGCAUUUGAAACUGGCAAGCUAGAGUCUCGUAGAGGGGGGUAGAAUUCCAGGUGUAGCGGUGAAAUGCGUAGAGAUCUGGAGGAAUACCGGUGGCGAAGGCGGCCCCCUGGACGAAGACUGACGCUCAGGUGCGAAAGCGUGGGGCAGCAAACAGGAUUAGAUACCCUGGUAGUCCACGCUGU
rnacentral:rRNA from 1 species